rnacentral:rRNA from 1 species
UACGUAGGGCGCGAGCGUUGUCCGGAAUUAUUGGGCGUAAAGAGCUCGUAGGCGGCUGGUCGCGUCUGUCGUGAAAUCCUCUGGCUUAACUGGGGGCUUGCGGUGGGUACGGGCCGGCUUGAGUGCGGUAGGGGAGACUGGAACUCCUGGUGUAGCGGUGGAAUGCGCAGAUAUCAGGAAGAACACCGGUGGCGAAGGCGGGUCUCUGGGCCGUUACUGACGCUGAGGAGCGAAAGCGUGGGGAGCGAACAGGAUUAGAUACCCGGGUAGUCC